UUUGCACAAGUUAUAAAAGACUCCCAAGUGAAUUCGACUCAUCCCACACAUAGAACCCUUUACCAAUCUCAGUUAAGCACAUUCUUAAACACCCCAUGACACAUAUCUGUCUUAUAUUUGCCAUUUCAACAAUAAUCAUCUCGCUAAAAAUGUAUGAUCAUACAGAGUAGAGCAAGCAAGCACACCUUUUUGGUUUGUUUACCUUUCUAAGCGAUGACAUCUUAUGCUGGUGAUGAUGAGAAGGUCAAAAACAAAUAAACGUGAGCAUGUCCCCUGACAUCGAUUUGCCUUGCUCUUUGGAAACCUCCGCCGCAGACCGUCCGCGGAUAGCCAUCACAUGGCUUUUAGCCCCGCUGAGAUGUGGGACUUGGGGUGCCGCGGUGUUGUGGAUGUUGUGGCCGCUGCAUCUCGCUCGUCGCGGGGCUUCAGUCAUCGGCGGCAGCGCUAUCCCUGCUCAGCUGGCUCACACCAGGCGCCAUUUUUCUUAAUUGUUGGUCACUUCAACUACGCCACAUUUGAUCCAGUACUGCUACGAGGCCACUGACUGGGAGGCACUGUGCGAGCCAGGAGGGUAGUCUUGAUGGUCUCCCAGACGGCGUCACGGACUACAUCAAGAAAUUGAGCCGCAGUCGCCAGUGGGUUAGGCAGAGUACACUCCACUGCACCACUGAGGCGAUGCCAAAUCACAAUGAUCAAUCAUCAAUAAAGAGGAUAUACAUGACAUUAAAAUAAAUUGAGCCGCAGUCGCCAGUGGGUUAGGCAGAGUACACUCCACUGCACCACUGAGGCGAUGCCAAAUCACAAUGAUCAAUCAUCAAAAAAGAGGAUAUACAUAACAUUAAAAUGUAUGUGUUUUUCUAUUAUUUCCCUUAUGGUUUUUUUCAUGACGACCAAUAAAAACGACAGUGUUACCCCUUAUGGUUUUUUCAUGACGACUGAUAAAAAACGACAGUGUUACCCCUUAUAUUUUAUUUGACAAAGACAACAGAGUUACCCCUUAUGUUUUUCUUCAUGACGACCAAUAAAAAACAACAGUGUUACCCCUUGUGUUUUUUUUCAUGACGACCAAUCAAAAACAACAGUGUUACCCCUUAUGUUUUUUUUCAUGACGACCAAUAAAAAACAACAGUGUUACCCCUUAUGUUUUUUUUCAUGACGACCAAUAAAAAACAACAGUGUUACCCCUUGUGGUUUUUCUCAUGAUGACCAAAGAAACACAACAGUGUUACCCCCUAUGUUUUAUUUGAUGAAUAUCGACAGUGUUACCCCUUAUGUUUUUUUUCAUGACGACCAAUAAAAAACCAGUGUUACCCCUUAUGUUUUUUUUCAUGACGACCAAUAAAAAACAACAGUGUUACCCCUUAUGUUUUUUUUCAUGACGACCAAAGAAAAACAACAGUGUUACC